CCCGCGCCGGGCGAGCUAGCGUCGGGGGAUUUCCCAGGAGCCACUCGAGCCAGUCUGACUCCAUCCAGGGACAGUCCUUCCUAAUGGUUAUGGUCAACGCUGAUGGGAACAGCUUAGAAGCUCUGAGACUGAAGCAGUUCCACAGUGUAAAAAAUAGAAAACACAGACACGGUGAAGACUGGAAAAUCAAACAAUGUUAAUAUUACAAAAGGAGACAAUGCUCAUUUCUUUGACUCUCUUUAGUGUGGAACUGAAUUUAAACAAUCAAUCCUCCACAGAUAUAGCUAGAAUAAAGAUCUAAACAUGGGGCAGAAAUGCAAAUCUAUGCCUGAAUACCAACAAGAAAAUCAGUGCUUAAAAAUAUUCAAGAAAAACAAAGAUAGAAGUGAAGAGGAUGCAGUGCGCUGCAAGUACUGCAGUAUUGAGGUCAGUGCUCACACUGACAGAAUAAAGGAGCAUGUCAAAAGCAAACGAUACAAGAAGCUUAAAGAAGAAAGUGAGCUUUGGGAUAAACAGUCAAUAUCAGGAGCUUUCACCAGGACUUUAAUGAAAGAGAAGACACAGCAUGAUUGUGUCAAUGAAUGCUCUUUGUUUUGCAAGACAACCACUGUUAAUAGCAGCAGGGCCUAUUGGUGACCUUGUGCGACAAUACUGUCAAGCAGCAAAAACCCUUCCUAAUGCAGGCAGCCCAGCUCAUAAGUAUCCACAAGAAAAUGAUGAUGUUUUGGUAUCUAAACUGAUGGAACAAAUUGAUAGAAAUGUGGUGUCUAGUCUGAUUUUUGGCAAGUCUACUGAUGUUUUGGACCAUCCAAUUCCUGGCCUUUUGUUUUUGUUUCUUGAUUUCAAAGUGAAUAAACCCACAUUGUUUUGUGCUGAUGUGACAGUCAUACCCUCUGCUGACACCUGUUUUGUUGAUGCAGUAAUAACAGACAUGUUUGAGAUGUACCAACUAACUUUGAAAAAUGUGGCCACAACUAACACAGAUUCUGCUUCCUACCUACAUGGCUAAGUUUGCACAGAAGAUUCAAUCAGAAACCAGAGCUGCUACAUAUUACCUGCUCCUGUUCAUCUGAUUAACGUUGCGCUCGUCAGCAGCUAUUGCUACCGAAGAAAUGAAAGACAUGAAAUCUUGCACCACUGAAUUUGGGGCUGUUUUCAAGCAUGUGAACAAGCUGAAGGCUUUGUUUUACACAGUGCAAGAUGAGUGAAGAGCAGACUGUCAAUUACCUACCCUUGUUGUGCCACAUUGGUAGACGAUCUUCUACUUUGCUGCCUGUCAUGUAGAUAAUGCAUGGAUUGUGCUAAUGUGUCUCCUAGAUCAUUCUGAGUUUGUUGGUUCUGAAGCAGAAACUUUGAAGAGUCUGGUAAAUAACCAAAAUGACCGCCAGAUUCUGUGCACCAAUGUAAUGUUCACUGUUGAAAACUUGGAAUCCCCAUGUGACACACAAAAAAACACUGGAGUUUUCUCUGACUACUGCCAACAUGUUUUUCAGUACAGACAUUAACUAGAUCCUGACAAUCAAAAUCUCAUCUGAAAUGAGCACAGAAGCUGCACGAGAAACAUACAGUGAGAAAACCCAACUGUUUCUGGAAAUCGUUCCAACCCAGGAACACGAGAAAACCAAAAAACAUUCAAAACCUUCAACACAAUGCUCUGCAAGAAAUGGGAGACAGCUGUGACAUGUAAUCUGAACCCCAAAGUGUUUGGUGCUGAAGAUGCUUUUUGGAAUGUCAUCUAGGUGUUGCACCCAUUCCUCAAGGUGAAUUUUGCAGUGUACUAUGACUGUUAUACCAGAGUGUUUCAACCAGUUACCACUAAGAUUAAAUUUCAAAUCUGAAAGGGGAUUUUACUACGUACAUGAACAUGCCUAACCCUGACAAUGUGAAACUCAGUGCGGUGGCCUUUUGGAACAGUCAUCAAGACACAUUUCUCAAUUUCAGCAGACUGGCAUGGUGAGCUUUGAAUGCACUAAUUUGCACAGUUGGACUAUCUCCAAGACAGCAAGAGGCUUAACAUGAGUGAGGAUACUUUGAAGAAAAUUAU